UCUUCUUCGUUUCUUCUCCUCCUCCACCAUCCUCUCCACUGCAGCCCCUGGAGCCACCGCCCACCACUCCCAGCACCGCCACCUCCUCCACUACCUCGACGAGUUCGGCGAUUGCGGUGCGAGCGCGGCUGUCGACCCAUCCAUCUCCUUCGAGAACCCUCGCUUCGGCCACGCCUACAUGCUCUCAUCCAGUAUCCCAGCCGCUUCCUUCGAUGAAGCGACUUCAAUCUCUGUCGAGAGCUCUUCGAUUGUUGCUACGGAAUCAAGAUUUCCUCAUCGAUCUGCCUUCUCCAUCGCUCUCCUAACACCGAAAGCCAUCACUAGAGAGCAAGGGAUUCAUCAUACACGCACUGGACCAAACGAAGAAGUUCUCGAUAGAAGCGAUUUCCCUUCGAGUCGGACUCGCAAUUUCAGACGAAUCGAUUCUGGUGGCUGUGGCUCUCGUUGAUAGAAGUUUCAUGGCCGCCGCUCACUUUCUCGAUUUCACCCUGUUCCGUGGCCGAGAGCAUUGAAGUGGUUAAAUCUCGGUUGAAACUUCCUCACUUGUGUCCAUAUUCAAUGACAACGAAUUACUGGACCUCUUGCUGUCAGUUGAUUGAUGAUGGUGAUCAGUGUCACUUGUGCUCGAUUCUCUUGAGAUCUACGCUAUAAUUGGAUGAUUUGUGAUGGCUCUAUGAUUCUAGCGCUGAUUUCAGUAAUUCCAGAUGAAAACAUGGCUUCGAUUCCAUAGCCUGAGUCAAUCUUGUUGUUGCACAUAUACUAUUUGACAAAAUACCUCAAAGGCAUGUCUGAGAAAUAACACAGGAUAUUAUCCAAUAUGAGAAUUUGCUGACACAGUUUACUUGUUUCCAGUUAAUUUGUUGAGAAUUUGAAGAUGAUUCUCGUUGUAAUUCAUCAUUAUCGAAUCUGAGCACAUGUUUUUCUC